rnacentral:rRNA from 1 species
CGAGCGGUAGGAGAUCUUUCGGGAUCUUGAGAGCGGCGUACGGGUGCGGAACACGUGUGCAACCUGCCUUUAUCAGGGGGAUAGCCUUUCGAAAGGAAGAUUAAUACCCCAUAAUAUAUUGAGUGGCAUCACUUAAUAUUGAAAACUCCGGUGGAUAGAGAUGGGCACGCGCAAGAUUAGAUAGUUGGUGAGGUAACGGCUCACCAAGUCUGCGAUCUUUAGGGGGCCUGAGAGGGUGAUCCCCCACACUGGUACUGAGACACGGACCAGACUCCUACGGGAGGCAGCAGUGAGGAAUAUUGGACAAUGGGUGCGAGCCUGAUCCAGCCAUCCCGCGUGAAGGACGACGGCCCUAUGGGUUGUAAACUUCUUUUGUAUAGGGAUAAACCUACUCUCGUGAGAGUAGCUGAAGGUACUAUACGAAUAAGCACCGGCUAACUCCGUGCCAGCAGCCGCGGUAAUACGGAGGGUGCAAGCGUUAUCCGGAUUUAUUGGGUUUAAAGGGUCCGUAGGCGGAUCUGUAAGUCAGUGGUGAAAUCUCACAGCUUAACUGUGAAACUGCCAUUGAUACUGCAGGUCUUGAGUGUUGUUGAAGUAGCUGGAAUAAGUAGUGUAGCGGUGAAAUGCAUAGAUAUUACUUAGAACACCAAUUGCGAAGGCAGGUUACUAAGCAACAACUGACGCUGAUGGACGAAAGCGUGGGGAGCGAACAGGAUUAGAUACCCUGGUAGUCCACGCCGUAAACGAUGCUAACUCGUUUUUGGGCUUUCGGGUUCAGAGACUAAGCGAAAGUGAUAAGUUAGCCACCUGGGGAGUACGAACGCAAGUUUGAAACUCAAAGGAAUUGACGGGGGCCCGCACAAGCGGUGGAUUAUGUGGUUUAAUUCGAUGAUACGCGAGGAACCUUACCAAGGCUUAAAUGGGAAAUGACAGGCUUAGAAAUAGGCUUUUCUUCGGACAUUUUUCAAGGUGCUGCAUGGUUGUCGUCAGCUCGUGCCGUGAGGUGUUAGGUUAAGUCCUGCAACGAGCGCAACCCCUGUCACUAGUUGCCAUCAUUAAGUUGGGGACUCUAGUGAGACUGCCUACGCAAGUAGAAAGGAAAGUGGGGAUGACGUCAAAUCAUCACGGCCCUUACGCCUUGGGCCACACACGUAAAACAAUGGCCGGUACAAAGGGCAGCUACACUGCGAAAUGAUGCAAAUCUCCAAAGCCGGUCCCAGUUCGGAUUGGAGUCUGCAACUCGACUCUAUAAAGCUGGAAUCGCUAGUAAUCGCGCAUCACCCAUGGCGCGGUGAAUACGUUCCCGGGCCUUGGACACACCGCCCGUCAACCCAUGGAAGUCUGGGGUACCUGAAGUCGGUGACC